rnacentral:misc_RNA from 1 species
AAGUCGUAACAAGGUUUCCGUAGGUGAACCUGCGGAAGGAUCAUUAACACGUAUCCAACGUUAAAACCCCCCCGUGAACCUUCACUGUGCUCGUACGCUUUGUUAGAAAGUAGCAAUCCCUGGUAAAUCAUCGCCGAACAGUUUUGAUUCAGGGACUUCUGCGAAGAGUGUGCUUGUAGCGCGAGGCGAUGAAGAACGCAG